rnacentral:rRNA from 1 species
AGUGAACGCUGGCGGUAGGCCUAACACAUGCAAGUCGAACGGCAGCACAGUAAGAGCUUGCUCUUACGGGUGGCGAGUGGCGGACGGGUGAGGAAUACAUCGGAAUCUACUUUUUCGUGGGGGAUAACGUAGGGAAACUUACGCUAAUACCGCAUACGACCUACGGGUGAAAGCAGGGGAUCUUCGGACCUUGCGCGAUUGAAUGAGCCGAUGUCGGAUUAGCUAGUUGGCGGGGUAAAGGCCCACCAAGGCGACGAUCCGUAGCUGGUCUGAGAGGAUGAUCAGCCACACUGGAACUGAGACACGGUCCAGACUCCUACGGGAGGCAGCAGUGGGGAAUAUUGGACAAUGCGGGCAAGCCUAAUCCAGCAAUACCGCGUGGGUGAAGAAGGCCUUCUGGUUGUAAAGCCCUGUUGUUGGGAGAGAAAAGCAGCAGGUUAAUACCCCGCUGUUCUGACGGUACCCAAAGAAUAAGCACCGGCUAACUUCGUG